rnacentral:rRNA from 2 species
UGGGGAAUAUUGGACAAUGGGGGGAACCCUGAUCCAGCCAUGCCGCGUGUGUGAAGAAGGCCUUUUGGUUGUAAAGCACUUUAAGCGAGGAGGAGGCUACCGAGAUUAAUACUCUUGGAUAGUGGACGUUACUCGCAGAAUAAGCACCGGCUAACUCUGUGCCAGCAGCCGCGGUAAUACAGAGGGUGCAAGCGUUAAUCGGAUUUACUGGGCGUAAAGCGCGCGUAGGUGGCCAAUUAAGUCAAAUGUGAAAUCCCCGAGCUUAACUUGGGAAUUGCAUUCGAUACUGGUUGGCUAGAGUAUGGGAGAGGAUGGUAGAAUUCCAGGUGUAGCGGUGAAAUGCGUAGAGAUCUGGAGGAAUACCGAUGGCGAAGGCAGCCAUCUGGCCUAAUACUGACACUGAGGUGCGAAAGCAUGGGGAGCAAACAGGAUUAGAUACCCUGGUAGUCCAUGCCGUAAACGAUGUCUACUAGCCGUUGGGGCCUUUGAGGCUUUAGUGGCGCAGCUAACGCGAUAAGUAGACCGCCUGGGGAGUACGGUCGCAAGACUA